rnacentral:lncRNA from 1 species
UUCUUUUAUUCAUGUUAUGUUUCAGAUAUCAAUGAGACACUCAGCCAGAGUUGUCUGAUAGGAAGUUGAUAAGGCAAGCAUAAGACAAGCUCAGAAGAGAGACUGGGAUUGGAUAUAUAGAACUAGAAAUUAUCCACCUAAUGAUAAUAAUCGAAUGUAUGCCACGUCAGGACAAGGGCUACUUGCUUUGUUGUUGUUACCUAUCCUGCCUUAUAAUCUUUCACAGAUGUUUGAAAGGAUUUGGGAAAAUCGGGACACUAAUGCAUUGUUGGUAUGGUUGGGAACUUAUCCAACCAUUUUGGAGAGCAAUUUGGAACUAUACCCAAAGGACUUUGAGAUUCUGCAUACCCUUUGGUCCAGUAAUAUCAUUACUUGAUCUAUAUCCAAAAGAGAUGAAAAAAGAGGAAAGAAUCUCUUCAUACAAGAAUGUUUAUAGCAAUUCUUUGUGCAUUGGCAAAUAAUUUGUAAUUAAAGGGAGGCCCAUUAUUGAGGGAAUGACUGAAUGAGUUUCUGGUAUAUGAUUGUAAUGGAAUAUUAUUGUGCUAUAAGAUAUGAUGAGAAGAAAGAUUUCGGAAAAUCCUAGAAGGACUUACAUGAAUUCAUGUAAAGUGAAAUGAGCAGAAUCAGUAGAAUAUUGUACAUAGUAACAGCAAUAAUAUGAGAUAAACAUUUAUAAAUGACUUAGCUAUUCCCAGAAAUUCAGUGAUUGAAGGUAAUACUCAACCAUUUGCCUCUAGAGAAAGAAUUGAUGAAAUAUGAAUGCAGACUGAGAAACACUAUAUUUCACUUUAUUUCUUCCUUUAUUCUUUUGUUUAAGUCCUAUUUCACAAAAUUUACAAAUUUAAAAAGACAUUUUACACUAUUAAACUUGUAAAAUAUAUAUCAGGCUGCAUACAAUCUCAAGAAUGGUAGAGAAAGGAAGGGUACAAAUCUGGCUCAAACUUUAAAAAGUGUAACUUAAGACUUUUUUCAUGUCAUUGAGGAAAAAAU